AAUGGAUCCAGAAUGAUCGAGAGAGAGAAAGAGGGAGAGCUGGGAGCUCUCUGACCCGACACCUCAACCCGGUCGGCGCUCCACCGUCAGGCCACCUCCGGCCGGCGCACGGACACCAUCACCUUCGUCUCUGCAUCGUCUACAUCCCAGUAGCUUCUGAUCGCCCAUGCACGGAACGAGGAGGGAGAUGUGGCGGUGAGUGCAGUGACUGCUCCGGCGAGCUUCUGUAAAUUCCGGCCAUCGAUUGGCCUGUAAUUGAUUGAAGUUAAAUCCCAGAAGCUACUAGUUGGUGCCUGUUGAUUUCUCAGUUCGUCCUUAGUCGGAUUCCGGGGAGUUACGGUGCUUGGAAAGAGAAGCAGCUCGUUAAGUCGACAGCUUCCAAAUUGAACUCUUGAGGGUAAAAUUCUGAACCUUUUGACCGAAGCUCUGUUCUGUGGAUGAUAAGGUUGAAAUUGAGUUCUUCCUGGUUAUUGAUUCUGGUCGAGUUGUCGAAGUCGUGGUGGUUAUCUGAAUAUUAGGGAGAGAGUAUGGUUGUGUUGAUGAAUCUGUCAUUGGUAUGUGGACUGGAAUUGAUUGCCAUGUUUGUAUGCUUACUGUGAAUUUGUGUUGUGAAAAUGGUAAAUCCAGAUGGUUUACGUUUGCAAAAUUUUCUAUAGCAGUUAGCAUUGAAAUGGUUCUGAAUGUUUGAAAAGGAAUCAAGUUAUGAUUUUGGGGUUCUUAAUAGUUUGGGCACACUUUGUAUGAAGUUGGAAUUGCCUUGGGUGUCCAUAGUAAUUUGACGGAAUUACUAUGUGACAAAAAUUGUUAAGUAAAGAAAUGAAAAUAGCAUAUUGCCGCCUUAGUAAAUUUCAGGUACACCUAAUAUGUUUGAAAUUAAGUCGUUACUUGAUUUACUUCGACAUAGUCGUAAUUGGUCGAUAUCAUAAUUUCAAGUAAAAUGUUCGGGAAUUAGGGUUAAUUAUCGAAUCAGAAUUGAAUGAUCAAAUGUUGGUCAAACAAUGGUCAAACUGGUCAACUCCUGGUCAAACCAGGAAGAGUUGUCGAGAUUUAAUAUCAUUGUUCAACGAGAUAUUAACGGUCGAAAUGUCGGAAUCUAGGACUCUAGUUACCUGAGGAACAGAAGGUUCGCGACUCUCGGAGUACAUGAGAGAAAGCAUCGGAAUCCAGUAUGAAUGCAGGUACUGUGCACUGGUGACGGGACAAUAGCGGAUGGAGCUGGGUGCGCAGAACAAGUUCGGUAAAUUACCAUGUGAACCUUAUUCUAAAUUCUAUUUCUCGAACUUUGUGUUCUGGAACUUGUGGUUAUCUAGUCUCGUGUCAUCAUUUAGUUGAAUUCUCUUCAAGUAAAAUUCAACCUUGUGUGAGCCUUUAUCCAAGUUCUGAACGAGUGAAAUAGAUUUCAGCAACUCAAGUUUUUCACCUCAAGCAUAUUUGUAGCUUCCGCUGUGUUUAUACAAAAAGUUUUUCAAACAAAAUGCCUAGCGGUUCUCUAGAAUGUAAAUCGAGCGUUCGGUUUAUAUUUUAGAGGCUCGCGGCACUGUAACGUGCUUAAGUUGGUGAGGUGCAGCUUGGGGCGUUACAGCGGGAAAUUGACUGGAUCCCAUAUAUUAUUUUUUAUACUUCAGUUUUUAUUUGUUUAUUUAAAUUUUUUUUUAAAAUUAAAUAAAAGAAACAUAAUUGAAACUAAUAUCCAAUUACGAACCAAAAAAUGAACGAACAUUAUGGAACACAAUUAAACUUCUUUUAUUAGAUAAAAAAGAAUUUUACAUUGUACCCAUCAUAACAAAAAGAACAACAAUAUUUAGAUAACCCUAGCAGGGGUGCCUCCUCUCUCUACACCUAGGGUUAGGGUUUGCGGUUUUUUUGUGUAUUCUUCAACAAUGUCCUCUGUUGAUGCCAUGACUGCUCGCAUUGCUUCUUCUCUUACCAUUAUUGAGGGGAGAAAGCAGGUCGAUAUGCGACCUACAUAAGGGAAAGGUCUGCGUCAGGCAGACGUGUUUUUGGUUGAGAAACUUCACACCGUUGGGGAAUAUAAGGUUCGUUCUUUCUUGGGAAUGUUCUGCAAUGCUUGGAGAGUGAAUGGAUUGUUGCGUGUUGAAGAAGCGGAAGGUCAGAGGGUUAUGUUUACCUUGUUUGACGCAGCUGAUUGGGAUCAGAUUUGGAAGGGAGCCCUGUGGGGGUACAAUCAUGCACCAGUUGCCCUAGCCUACUAUGAUGGCGUCGCUGCCAUUGAAUCUGUGCCUUUCACGGUGGCCUCGUAUUGGAUUACGCUGGAAGUAAUUCCUCUAGCGUUUCGUUCUGAAGAAUGAUGACAAUGAUUGGGUACACUUCUUGGAGAUUUCAAAGAAAGUGAUAAGCAGGCAAAGAAAGUUGGAAAUUUUUGAAUCUAGGUGGAGAUCCCAUUAAACCGGCCUUUAUCCUUCAAACGCUGGUAUUGGGUUGAGGAUGAAGUUGAGUUCCUCUGUAAAUUCAGUAUGACAAGAUUUUUGGUAGGUGCCCUACUUGUGCUUUUGUUACUUAUGUUGGCCUCCCAUGCUUGGGUCCAACCUUAGAGGAGGAUGACGAGGAGGCGGAAUGUACUGUUUUGGGUGUGCAAACGGGGAAGCCUCCACCUGCACUAGCAUUGCAGAUCGUUGGUUCUUCUGCUUCGUCAUCUGGGACGAUGUCGGCAAACAAACUGAAUGCAGGUACUAGGGCUAGGGUUUUGGUAGAAGGCCAGAACCUCAUCUUCUGUAACUCGGUCUCUAAUCAAAUGCCGGAAAGAUAGCUUCACAAUCCGGCAGUGUUGCUGCAACGUUCUCGCUGUCAAGCUCAUAUUCGGGAAUUGCCGGAGAUGAUGAUCAGUCCUGAGAAUUUAACAGGUAAAAGAAGAAGUAGGGAGGAGGAGACUGUUACUAUCUCUCCUAAAGUGUGUCUAUGAUUAAUCAUGCAACCUCGCACAAACGCGCUUAUCUGUUAGUCUAAGCCAUGAGGGAGUUUUCAUCUAUCCUCAGGUGAGAACCCUGUUAUAGAAAAAUAGAAGCCAAGUGGUAAUUAGCACACAUUCAAAGAAAUGCCCAUGUCACAGAAGGCAAGUACUUAAAAUAUGUUUGAAAUAAACAAGGUAACAAACAAAUUACAAUUUACUCAUGGUAAUAGAACAAAUUCAAGACAUCAUUGAACUAUACAUGAACGUUAUUAGGCUCAGUCAAAGAAAGAAAUGAUACAGGAAAAUUGUAUAUAACAAAAUAGGUGGAAAACAAAAACAAAAAAAGAAAGAAAGAAAAAAGCAUCAUACAAUUAGAGGCUGCAGAAUAUCCAAAUCAAUGAAUCAUAAUUGGUUAAACAUGCUUGUUUAUUCUUUAUUCAAUGGUAUCCUAACAUCCAGCCAAAAUGACAAUGGUUUAGUGAGAUGAGUGACCUGAAACGAGAGCGAGAGCCUCUCUCUCUAAGUUUAGAGAGAGAGAAAACAGAUCUAGAACCACAGCUCUCUCCCCCUUCUCUCUUCCCCAGAUUGUGAUCCUCCGGGGGGACUCUCCUUGCUUUGUCUUGCACUCACUUCAUCUCCCUUGUUUCUCUCACACCUCUGUGGUGGCCUGAAACGAGAGCGAGAGCCUCUCUCUCUAAGUUUAGAGAGAGAGAAAACAGAUCUAGAACCACAGCUCUCUCCCCCUUCUCUCUUCCCCAGAUUGUGAUCCUCCGGGGGGACUCUCCUUGCUCUGUCUUGCACUCACUUCAUCUCCCUUGUUUCUCUCACACCUCUGUGGUGGCUUUACACCCUCUUUAUGGUGGUUUCCUAACUUAUGUUCAGUAUUAGAGGACUUUGUUCCUUCUUUCUCUGUCAAACAUACCAGAAUAUUUUCAAAUCCACAAACGUCGAUGAUUCCCCUCACCCAUUUCCUCACAUAAACUCCCCUCCAACUACCAAAGACUUGUUCCUUGAAGAUUCUCAUAGCUACCUCUUAAAAGUGAGAAACACUUACCUAGAGGAGUAUGGGUGCUCACGCAUGGGUGUUUCACCCCCGAUUCACCAUUGGAUUUUUUCUUUGCUAUUGGCUUCUGUCCCAUUUUGGUGGCUUCGGUUCCUUCCUGGUUUGAGUUUUUCUGGUGGAGAAGAGAGCGUUUGUGUGUGGGUUUGGAUCCAAUUUAUCAUCUCAUUACCUUGGUUUCGAUUGGAUUUGUAUUUUGGGAUUGUUUUGGCAGCGGUUAUUCGGAUUUUAUCUCCUCGGUAUGGCACUUUUCCCUACCUUUUGGCUUCGGGCAGCGGCGGCGGCAGUGGCAGCGACGGCGACGACGACACGGAUGGCUUGGGUGGCGGCUGUUGCAUUGUAGGAGAUGAUGUUUUUCUUAAUUUUUAGGGUUACUCUCUUUUAACCUAUCUAUGUGGAUUUGGGUUGAGUAGUAAUUUCCUUAUUAAGUUUACUUGUAAUUGGGCCUUGUUUGGGCUCUUUCCAUUGGGUUCUUCCCUUUGGUUUUUUAAUGAAUGUUUUCAUUGACCAAAAAAA